UACCUAAUUUGCAAGUGCUCACAGUGACC
rnacentral:piRNA from 1 species